UGUGACCUCAAAUCAGGUAGGACUACCCGCUGAACUUAAGCAUAUCAAUAAGCGGAGGAAAAGAAACUAACAAGGAUUCCCCUAGUAACUGCGAGUGAAGCGGGAAAAGCUCAAAUUUAAAAUCUGGCGGUCUUUUGGCUGUCCGAGUUGUAAUCUAGAGAAGUGUUAUCCGCGCUGGACCGUG
rnacentral:rRNA from 2 species